rnacentral:tRNA from 1 species
GCCCGGGUGGCGAAAUUGGUAGACGCAACGGACUUAAAAUCCGUCCUCCGCAAGGAAGUACCGGUUCGAUUCCGGUCUCGGGCACCA